GUGGGGAAUAUUGGGCAAUGGGGGCAACCCUGACCCAGCGACGCCGCGUGAGGGAAGAAGGCCUUAGGGUCGUAAACCUCUGUUGUGUGGGAAGAAGGAAGUGACGGUAUCACACGAGGAAGUCCCGGCUAACUACGUGCCAGCAGCCGCGGUAAUACGUAGUGGACGAGCGUUGUCCGGAAUUACUGUGCGUAAAGGGCGCGUCGGCGGUCAUUUAAGUCAGCUGUGAAGUGGUCCGGCUCAACCGGAUCUUGCGGUUGAAAAUGGAUGACUGGAGUGCUGGAGAGGGAAGUGGAAUUCACAGUGUAGCGGUGAAAUGCGGAGAUAUUGGGAAGAACACCGGUGGCGAAAGCGACUUGCUGGCCAGCAACUGACGCUGAGGCGCGAAAGACAGGGGAGCAAACGGGAUUAGAAACCCUGGUAGUCC
rnacentral:rRNA from 1 species